rnacentral:tRNA from 1 species
UCACGUAUAAGAUAAAAAAUCUUUGGGUUUGUGGAACCCUAAAUACCGUAUGGUUUGUGGU